UCUAAAACUGCCUCCCUCUCUACUUAUACCCAUUUCCUACUCCUCCCAUCUCACUUACACACACUUUUGCUCACUCCCCUCUUCUUAAGUUUGCAUUCCCUCAAGAGCAUUUCACUUGCACCCACUCACUCCAAGUUCAAGAUGCCUGCUAAGAGAGCAAGAUAUCCCACAAGGGCCGCAGGGUCCUCCUCCACUUCCCAUAACUUUGACCGCUCCCGCUUCUUAUCGGCAAAGAAGGAGGAAUUCUAUCAAUCCGUCCUAGCACACAAGGGGUGUGUGAAGGAGCGAGGAGUAUUCUUAGGAAUGGAAGGAGAGACCCCCUCGAUAUGGUCGUGAAGAUAACGGCGACGACUCAUUCUUGGGAGCUGAUACUACGUGACGAGCCACUACCAGAUGAUGACUACACUUCUGAUGAAGAGGAAGAAGAUAAAGAGGAAGGGGCCAAGGAUAUGGUUGGGUUGAGAGACAUCCAUUUUUCCUUUUGGGUUGAGAGUACCGAAUUUUGGAAGUAUUGAACCAUUACUUUAUUUUAGUUGGGAUAGUUUAACUUGAUGUAAUUUACUUUGAAGUUUUCUUUCGGAUAUUUAUUUCAUACUCUUGUCAAUGAUUAAUAAAGUUUGAGGUGUACGUUGAUGAUUAUUUCCGCAAGUUUGAAAUGGUUAAGUUUAUAGAGUUUUCGUAAAAUGAACCUUUGUCAUUUAAUUCAAGAUUAAUAAUUGAAUCGACGAAAAUUCUUUACGAAAACUACGUUAUUUGGUUACUGUGUGACACUCAAGUAAUCGGGGCGUGAUGUCCUGGUUUAGAGGUGAUGUCAUUGACUAUGGAGCGGAGAGGAAGCCAUUUUCCCAUGGAGGAAUUCCAGGUCCUAUGACUUGCUUUCAGAUCGCUCUUCUGAGUUCUUGAGGGAUCUGGAAGUGGUGGUGGUUAGGCCCGGGAAACAUUGGGAGAAGCAUGACAGGGGGCACAUCACCUACUUACUAAGGCAAAACAUGACACCGCUGGCUCGUGUGUGGGCUGAAUUUCUGCAGGACUCAUUGUUUCCUAGCUCCCACAAAUCGGAAGUGAGAGCGGUGGUCCUAAUUGCAAUCUAUUGCAUCAUUAGGGGCCACCCAAUGGACGUGGCAAAAAUUAUUCUUGAGAAGAUUUACUCACACUACAAUGUGAGUAAGGAGAAGCCGCAUCCCAUCUUUCCUCACUUGAUUAGUGCUUUGAUCCAUGAUAUCAAGGAGAAGGCUAGGAGACCCACUUUUGCUGUGCAGCAGAGGUUGUUGGUUUCCCCCAUUCUGAGCAAGGAUCGGGUGAACCAACUCUUUCAAGAGUGGAUGUCUAGGAUGCCUCAAGAGGAUGAGGAAGAAGAGGAUCCUGUGGAGCCAGCGGAAGAAGAG